GACGGAGGGCGCAAGCGUUGUUCGGAAUUACUGGGCGUAAAGCGAGUGUAGGCGGUUUGGUAAGUCGGAUGUGAAAGCCCCGGGCUCAACCCGGGAAGUGCACUCGAUACUGCCAAGCUAGAGUAUCGGAGAGGUUGGUGGAAUUCUCGGUGUAGAGGUGAAAUUCGUAGAUAUCGAGAGGAACACCGGUGGCGAAGGCGGCCAACUGGACGAAUACUGACGCUGAGACUCGAAAGCGUGGGGAGCAAACAGG
rnacentral:rRNA from 1 species